GGGGGAUUAGCUUAAUUGGUUAGAGCGUCUGCCUUGCACGCAGAAGGUCGCUGGUUCGAGCCCGGUAUUCUCCA
rnacentral:tRNA from 1 species